rnacentral:misc_RNA from 1 species
GUAACGGCGAGUGAAGCGGCAACAGCUCAAAUUUGAAAUCUGGCUCCUUCGGGGCCCGAGUUGUAAUUUGCAGAGGAUGCGUCGGGUACGGGUUCCUUCCGAGUUCCCUGGAACGGGACGCCAUAGAGGGUGAGAGCCCCGUCUGGUAGGAUACCCAGCCCAUGUGACGCUCCCUCGACGAGUCGAGUAGUUUGGGAAUGCUGCUCUAACGGGAGGUAUACUCCUUCCAAGGCUAAAUACCGGCUGGAGACCGAUAGCGCACAAGUAGAGUGAUCGAAAGAUGAAAAGCACUUUGAAAAGAGAGUCAAACAGCACGUGAAAUUGUUAAAAGGGAAGCGCUCGCUACCAGACUUGGGUUCGGCGGUUCAACCGGGGCCACGCCCCGGGGCAUUCCGCCGGCUCAGGCCAGCAUCAGCUUUCCGUCGGGGGUAAAGGCGUCGGGAAUGUGGCUCUCCUUCGGGGGAGUGUUAUAGCCCGUCGUGUCAUACCCUUCGGGGGGCUGAGGUACGCGCUUCUGCAAGGAUGCUGGCGUAAUGGUAGCUAGUGACCCGUCUUGAAACACGGACCAAGGAGUCAACCUUAUGUGCGAGUGCCCGGGCGUAAAACCCCAGCGCGGAAUGAAAGUGAACGUAGGUGAGAGCUUCGGCGCAUCACCGACCGAUCCUGAUGUCCUCGGACGGAUUUGAGUGAGAGCAUAUAGGGUUGGACCCGAAAGAAGAUGAACUAUGCGUGUGUAGGGUGAAGCCAGAGGAAACUCUGGUGGAGGCUCGCAGCGGUUCUGACGUGCAAAUCG